GCUCUAAUCUCACCCCUGACUUGGGCCAGCUGAGCAGAGUCUGGAACACUAAUCUGAGUUUUUCGUUAAGCACAGCUUUACUGCUGCCCUGAAGCACUCAGAAAAGGCUCUUCACACUUUAGGUCACCUGCACCAAUGGGCAGAAAAGCACGGUUUGUAAUGAUCAUGCAGUCUUCUCAAAACACUGGGUACUUAAACCAGUUCAAUUUGCAAAUUGAUUAAACAGGCCCCUAACGGACACUACUGAUUUGAAACACCUUUGCAAGCCGUUCCUGGUACAUUUGAGACCAAGCCAGCUUCUUAAAAACCUACUUUCCCCACAUUGUGGUCAGGUUCUUUCUCUGGGAAGGCCACAUUCAUGCCAACAAGGACAGAACGAGUAGGAGAUGUUUCUCUUGUACAACCAGAAGACCUGAAGCAGCCCAGCUUUUCUACCCAUUCCCCCCAGCUUGGGACUUAGUGGGAGAAGGCUAACAGCAAAGCUCAAAACUCCAUGCUACCUACACCACCCUAAGGAGGGAUGGGUGGUCUCAGAUUAAAAGUUCUUCAAGAAGAUGCUACCCUAGCAUCACCGAGCUCCAGGACAGAGCCAGCACCUGCUAGUGACCAAGCUGGGAAGACAAAAGCCAACCGCUGGAGGAACCCAGAGAUCCCCAGCCUGCGAAGCAGAGGGAUUAGAAAUGGCUUGGAUCAGACAAACUGAGGCUUGAAUCUGGUUAACCAGCUGUGUGACUUUUGGUGCCCUGGUGACUGUGAGCCAGCGUGGGACCUCUGGCAUCUGAUGUCUACCCAGGCUCUGUGCUGACACCAGCUUACAGGACACCCCCACCUCAGUAUGCUUGCCUCUGGAGUUAAUUUCCUUUAUCAAAUCAGAUUAACUUCAAAGUUUUUAUUCAUUCUUUUAAUUGACUUAAUGCUUCAUUCUUCCUAAUUAACAGAUAUUGGGAAAGAAAAUAAACAGUAUGGUUAGAACUAGAGUUCUCCCAUUCGAGGCCCCUCCCUGGAGGGUAUCAGUCUUUUUCAAUGCAUCUUCAUUUAUAUGUAUAUAAAUACACAGACAGAUAAUUUUGUUUGGUGUAUGUUGG